UAAAAUAACAGCAAGGCAGAUCUGGGUUACAGCGAAAAAAUGUUUCGGUGAUUCCUUUGAACUAGUCAUGCGCUGUGUUGGGCUGCCUUGGCAAGACGUGGGCUCUUCUUAGAGGCUUUUAAGAACAGAUCAGACAAAUACGUGCCAUAGCGGCUAAAGCCCAGUGUAAGAUCUUACAUCGAGGAAGGAGGUUAGAUUCGAUGGUCCCGUAAGCUAGAGUUGCUGUGGUUCUGUAACCCCAAGAUACGUAAUCAUUGCAGCCCUUAUUGGCUUAACAAUAAAACUAGAUCAGCUGCACAGAUUAAAGAUACUCAACUAGGCCAAGUAAAAUUACGUAACAGGAAUGAAAUUGCGUUUAAGCAUGGUUUUAUAUUUUGCACCAGAUGGGGUGAAAGUAUCUAAAUGAGGAACUCUGCAGAGCUUUUACGCAUUAAAGGCUAAGGCCUUGUCUCCAGCAUAGCUUUCCAGAGAAUUUUCCACCUUUGUUCUUGCUGUAUGGCUGAUGCAAUUAAGUGGUGGUAAUCCAGAAAGGAUGCCAAUGUUUCUUGAGAUUAAGGCCUCACUGGCUAGGCUGAACUGAUCUUUGUAAAAAUAGUUUAGAUACAAGCUGACCUCAAGAUAUACUUGAAAAAAAAAAAUAAUGAAAUGGAACAUCCUUUCUGUUUCUUUGUUAUUUGUAUUUUUUAAACAGCAAGUGCAUGCAGUUGGUAGCAGCUAGCCAAAAAGAGGUAUUUUGUAAGCGGGCUGUUAGAUAAGUGAACUCGUAUUUGUGGAUUAAAACACUUGCCUUGAGAGGCAUUCUAGAUGUGUAUUAUCCACCCCAGCAGUUUCCAAUGCAGAGUAUCAUAUCAUGCCUGGUGCUUAAAAGGACAGAAGACAUGGCACUUUUCCUAAGUGCAUUCCUUGCAUCUCUGGAACUGCCAUCUAGAUGCUAAUAACUUAUCAAAAUUUAAUUUGCAUCAGUAAUAUUCUUGAAUUGUCGAGAACAUUUGUCUUAAGAUCAGAUGAAGCCACUGGUGAUCUAAAUAACUGCAAAUUCAGGACCUCUAAGCAUGGAAAGUCAACGUGUCCAAUUGUCCUGCUGGUUUUGCUGUUAAAUACAACGUCCUGCCUGACAACUGUUUUACCUUUGUGCAGUUUGUGCAAUGGUCAUAAUGCAAAAAGAAGGAAGGCAGGCUGCUUCCACUGCUUGCAGCUUGAUCGGCCUUUCACUGUGCAGUCUUCCUGCAUGCUGGUUUUCUAGGAAAUGCUGAGUUUGAUGCUGACUGCUUUUUCCUCCCUGCCAGAGGAGAUCUGCGGUGAAGCAGGUAGGAGGCUGCGUGCUCAGGCUGGCUGCCCCGAGGCUUGGGCUCUGAGUGACCACCUCUAGAGCAAAGUGUCAACUGUGUGAUGCUUGGCAGCACCUGCCCUGCUGUUAGCCUGCUGUACAAAGGUUAUGUGCCUAAAUGCAUUUGUUCUAGCUGUCUGGGCAGGGCUUGGUGAAUAAUAGCAAGGUGAUAGUGUUCACAGCACUGUGAACAACUUCAUUUUUUUUUUACCAUACAAUAAGCUUUAUUAAGACUAUUAAUGAGACAAAUAAUUUGUAAGAGACAUUCCAGAUCACACCUUCUAUCGUUGCCUUAAAAUCCAAAGAUCUGUGUUACUACGGAUACUUUUCAAGUAGUGAUGAUGUUCUCUGUUAUUCAAGGUAUACUUGAAGUCUCAUGUCUCACACAGGUAACUUCUAUCUGCAGGUUGUUGCACACUUUUUCAGUCUCUCCUAGUCUCCUCGUGCAGGCUUCUUUGCAAUCUCACACCUGUUGCUGUAAUCUCUAGCAGUUUUUCAAUGGGUGGCUCUUGGCAAGGUGCUCAGUACUCUGGAAGAAACAAGAUUAAAGCUGUAGUGCAGCAGCAUCUCAUUUACCUUUCAAAAUCUUGCUAGAAAGAAAAUAAAAUGCUAUAAAGUUGUACUGGGUCUGGCCAGGACGGAGAACUUUCCUCACAGCAGCUCUCAUGGUGCUGUGUGUUAGAUUUGUGACCAAAACAAUGCUGAUAACACACUGAUGUUUUAGCUGUUGCUGGAUGGUGUUUGCAUAUCAUUAAGGCCUUCUGUGUUUCUCACUCUGUUCCCCCCCAGUGAACAGACUGGGGAUGUUCAAGAGGUGGGGAUGGGACCUGAAGGUACCAAAGAGAUGUGCCGUGCCAUGUAACGUCGUGCUCAGCAAUAAAAAGGGGGAAGAGUGGGUUUAGGAAAAUCAGCCUUCUUUUGCUCAGGAACUUUCUGUGCCUUGGUCUGCCUGGGCAACGUGGUGAGUGAUUGCUUUUUCAUCACUUGUUUUGUUUUCUUUCUCUAUUCUUCCACUUCUCGUUUGCUUAUUAAACAAGCUUUAUCUCGACCCACAGGUGCUCUUGCUUUUGUUUUUCCUUUCCUCUUCCCCUGUCCCACUGGGAGAGCGUGGGGUGGGAAGGAGUGUGAGCGGUGCUUGGUUGCCUACCAGGGUUAACCCACAACAAGUGUGUAGGCACGUUCCCAUCAGACCUCGCCGUGUAAAGAAAUCCAUUCGUUAAGCAACGAUGUGCAACCCCUUGUUUUUUUCCCCUGGAGGGAGGCAGAGAGGGAGUAGGAGUUAGGUGGUACUUGCUUUGUGUAGUUUUGUCCCUUCCUUCCCUGCUAGGCUGCUGGGGUGUAGGGAAGUGUCCUGGAGAACCGUGCCCCCCAGAUGAGGGGGACUUUUUCCUAAGAGAGGUCCUUGCCAUGCAAUUCUGGUACCCUUAAGAAGAUUUAGCUCUUAAUGAUAUUUUUUGCAAGUAGUAGGAUGCUGCUCAUUUCCCCUUUCUGUUUUACUGUUAGUGAAAAUACAUCUGUACCACUCACUUGCCAUUUCAGAGCUUAUUUCCAUGCAUGAAAAGUGACAGAUUCUCCAAGUCUGUUUGUAGGGAACUGCAUGAAUCAGUUUCAAGAACACACCUAUGCUUUCUUCAUCUCAGUUCCACGCCCUUUUCUGCUCUAAUAAAUUCAUGACAGGUGGUUCAGAUAUGAGCUCCAGCUUCAGAGCCGAUUCCUGAACAACUGACAAGGAGGACGAAGGUUUAGGCACUCGGAUGAUCUCCCCAGAAGUGAGCCCUUUGCUUGCUGAGGCACAAUUCCUGGUGUGCAGUCUUAGAGCUGACUCAGCCACCCCAUCCCUCUUCUCUGUGUCAUCUAAUUUGUGUGAUGAUCUUCCCCUACGUGGACAGGCUUUGGUUGGCCUCUUGUGCCUGUAGCAGAGAUAUGAUUUAAGGAGAUAAUUGUUUGCAUGAGAAAAAAAAAAACUGUCUUGGAAUACGUCUGCUGUGUUCCUUCGGUAUGACAGCAGGGUGAAGAAUAUGAUCAUGGCCCUAAAGAAUGGUAGCUAAUUGCUGUGAUUUAUAUGCCCAAGUAUGAGCACAAUUACUGGAGACUGUGUUUGAGGUCAGGAAGUGGCUGCGAAGAAGGGAGGGGAGAGGAAUUCUUUGUGAAGAAUGCUGCAUGGUUUGGGGUGAGCGUCCCCACAGGGGUGUUUGAGGCCACAAUGGCCCUUAUGCCUACAGGGAAGCUGUCAAAGUGGACUGAAUGUUGACGUCCUGCAGUGGGUGUUGUGGAGAGAAAGUGCCCAUGGGGCAUGAGAUGUGAUUGUGUGAUGGAGCAGCGAAGCUAGAGCAGGGAAUAAAUACAACUGUCUCAAUUAGACUCUCCAGGUUUUCAGUUCUGCAGCUUCUCCAGCUAUUCCUGCACGUGCUGGUUGGUUUUGUUGCCAUGUUUUUGUGGAAGGUCAACUCGCUGACAGGCCUCUUGUGCAGAAUUUUCAGUCUGCACAUGGUGUUUCUAUUCAGAGUAUAACGCGAUAUCCAGUUCUUUGAUCUGAAAAGGAGCAGUUAGGAUAAAUAAUCACAGAAGGGGCCUGAAGUGUUGAUAUGGAAUUGUGAGAAUCAGAAAAAAGAAAUAGGAAGAUGGUGUCUACCCCAGGAGUUUGGAGGUGCUCAAGCUCUAGGAUUUUGUUGCAGCCCAAAAAUAAACAGCAAGUCCUACCGCUGCAGACAGUACCCCUUGCAAAUCUUCCUUUGUGGCUGCAGAUCAGCUGCUGAUACCAGUAGCUUGUUCCUGCUGUGUUCCAGCACUGUAAAGCUCGUGAUUGAUGAGUUCUGCACAGGGCACAAAGUGCUGAAGUUCUCUUGCGCUCCAGUGGACUGAGAGUGUCCUACGUGCAUCUUUUCCGCCUAGUCUGGUUUUCCUUUUCCCAUUUUCCUUCGGGACGUGUUGGUUGUUAAAUGGAAACAUUCCUUUUCAGAUAUUUGUGCUGAAUGUGGAAGCUGAGGUGCAGGAAAGAGUUUCACAGUUGCUCAGCUGGAAUGAGCUGUCUAAUAUAUUUGUACUGUGUUUUUCUUAGACUGGAGUUCUGUGACGGUUUGCUUUUCUUCCUUUCAGGCCUAGCUGCUCAGCCUAUUCAGUAUUAAAUUACAGAUUUUUGUAUUGCCAUUUAAUAGUUUUUAAUUUCUUUCAGGUUCUUGCUUGUGGUCCUGCUCCUGACAUGGCUCCUUUGCCAUAAAGGAAGCCCAUGAGGAAGGCUGCCUUUCUGGAGACUGGAUCCAUUGAACUCAAGGGAAGUAAUCCCAGCUGACUUGGACAGCUCUAAACCAGGUGACAGCAUGCUCACUGGAGGAUUUUAUUUUUUUCCUGGGAGAGAUCUGCAGCUGGGAAUACUAAGCCAAGAAGAUGGGAAAGGCCUGGCCAUGUGUCUCAGGAGACAACUGGAGUUAUCUGUGGCCAAGGUGGUCUCCAGCCCUUUGAAGUCACAUUUCAAGUCCCUGAGCUCAUCUUCCAGCAUCUGUAUGCUACUACUGACAGCUCUGUCACAGCUGGGAUUUGGCUCGGCAGGUCGGUCGGUCCGUCUUUGAUUUUUGUCAUUUGGGGCAGGCACUCCUCAGCACCCAGGAAGUUCUCUCAUUCUUUAUGAAGGGAUGGGAAUCCAGAAUGCACCCCGUGAAACACCUUGCUGUCAGUGGCAGGAGUUGCAGCAGCAAGCCUCUAUUUGCAAGAAAUGCAAGUUUUGCCUUGUUUGCAGAGUUUGUGGAAGAUUUCUUUAACAUAACUUGUCAUAAAUGAUCUGAAUCUCUGUGACUCAGAGCAUAGUCUCUGAAUGUUUAGGCAAUAAAAAUGGGGUUUGUUCAUUUGUAUACAGACAGUUUCUUAAAUAAGAGUUCUUAUUUUAAAAUGAUGACACCCUUAUUUGCCAUAGACCUCGCUGAGCAUCAGUGGUUGUCCAGAAGAGAACUCAGGACUUGUGAAAACCAUUCCUUUGCUUUAUCCACGAGGCCUCCUGGUCUCCUCUGUAUUCUAGGGACUUAACUGUAUUUAAGAUACAGACUGGGUGUCUGCAAACCUCACGCAUCAUUCCCAUAUGCUCUUUUUUUUCAUUCCGUAUUCUGAAAAUGAGCUUCUUACUGAGUCAUUUGAGAAGCUGAUUCCUUGCCUAACUGAAUUCUAAGCCUUUAACCAUCCCCUAUGGAUAACUGUCAUCCUGCAGCUGGAUGGUGAGGUCAGUCUCCUGGGUGAGAGUGGCUGUCUUCUCUGUUCCUUGACACAUUCUUUGCAUUACUGUGUCUCUGGUAUGGUGCUUCUCAGCUCCUCUUCCUGCAGUUAGAUUUCCUUCUCCUGUUGGGCCCCAUCCAGCAAAAGUUCCACCUGGAAGUAAGGGGUUCAAGCGAUGAGGUUCCCAAAACAAACUUUUUCCAUUAUGAUGGUUCCCAAAAACAUGAGUAUCUUGUUCAACACUUUCUUUCUUCUCAGCAGGAAAUCAUCUGAGUUAUCUAACCUGGGUUUAAGUGAAGAGAAUCUUGGCUGGAGCUGCCCCUUUAUGCUGACAACAUGGUCCCACUUCAGAGAAGUGCACCAAGCAGCUUUGUUUCAGCUGUUAAAUGUUAAUGAAUAGUGAAAGCUUGUAUUCCCAUGUUCAGAACCUCUCCACCUCUCUGUGCUGUUUUUAGAAGUGGGAAGUCCAGGUCUUGAAUUGCUAAGGUGUUCUCUUUCCAGUCCCUGGAGGUAGCAGCUAAGACUCAGCUUUCAGGGCUUUCUCCAUUUACUAACUUUCCUGGCAUUGAUUUGGAAAGCAAUCAGUCAGGCCCAUUGCCCUAUUAAUAAUUAACAAGAAAGUCACUAGCUUUCAGUGUCUUUACUCAAGUGAACAUGGCUGCUCUUUUUUUUUCCUGGUGCUUAUCUUCCUUGUCCAGACGUGCCAAGGUUCUCAGCGUCUGUAAUUGCCACUGUUUAAUUCCUCAGAACAGGACAACCUCGGAGUAUUUUCCUCACCUUGCUGUACAAUUUCCACCUGCCUCAGAAAUGCAGCUGCAGAAACUUCUGGACAUUCCUCUGAAUUGCCAGAACGUGUGUGGAGGGGGGCUCAAAGUGUUCGUGCUCAGCCAUACUCAGCAGAAUGCUGGAGCCAGUAUGUUGUCUAAAUAAAAUGGGAGAGGCUCAGAUGCCCCUCAGUUCCUUGGUGUGUAGGAGUCACAGCAGUUUGCAGACACAGGAGAAGGGAUGACAGAACCGAAUCUGUUUAAAAAAAUACUACUAUGGUUGUAGGAAUUGAGAUUUCUCUGCUCUGAAAGAAACAAAUGCUGCUCGUAAACAGGAAGCUAAUUGAAAGGACAUUUUUUGCUUCCUUCUCUUUCCUCUUCUCCAUCCUGCCAUUGCAGAUGUUAAAGGCAGUGACUAAAAAGUGCACAGACCAAAACCAAAAUCUUGUGACUUGUAAACAUAAGUAUUGUAAUUGAAUUCCAUGGGAUUCAAUGUAUCACCAUGUGAAUUAAGGUUUCUGGAUGGGACUAAGGCUCACAUCCAAAUUAUAGAGAUCCUCCAGUUGUUGGCCUUCAAAACCUUUUCCUUGAUGAAACCCAAAUAUACCUUUGUGCUCUUUUGCAGGAGGAAACACACUAGUUUCAGUAAAAAUGGAAAAAAAAUACAUAUUAGUAAUCUUGUGGUUGUUGACUUUAAGAACAAGGUCAGGGGCUGUGUCUGGCCCACUUUAACCUCCAUCCAUAAUUUGAAAUUUAAGGAUGGAAUAGUCUGAAGGAGUGAUGAAUGCUGUAUAAUUAUUAUAGAAGCUAGGAAAUGCAGACUUUAGGUUCUUGCAAAAAGCAGAACGCUCCAUUUUCAUGCCUGUUACAAUAGAUACCUUCAUUAUGUUAUGACAAAAACAUAUGUGCAAAUUGAUGAUAUAUGCUGCUAAUAUUAGACAGCUACAACAGCCUCCUUCCAUUUUCCUUUCUAGUCUUAAAUUGGAUAAGUGAUCAGUUAGCAGGAUUUUUGCCUGACUAAGGAAUAGUAAAGAGCAAGUGAGAUUUAUCACAAAGCUUAAGGUGUACUCCAUUUGCAUUAUAUUAACUGUAGAGUCUGAUUAAAAGUCAGGUUUGGGAGCAUGUGUAAGAGAGAACAUUAUAUGCAUGAGGAAAUGGGUUGCUGUAGAAACUCUAACUCUGCAGCUAUAUCUACACCAAAGGCAUGCUGAGUCAUAACUGCCAUCAAUUUAUUUAGCUCCGUUUGGUAGGAGUAAACAGUACCUUGUUAUGUCCAAUUCUGUUCUUCUCCCCCAGGUCAGGGGAGUCAAGCGGCAGCUCUGAUGACUUCUUACUGUUCACCAACCCUGGAGGGAUUAUGCUGGAUUCAAUCUCUGGAGAAGAUUAUUACACAUCCCACCUGUAGUCAUGGCACUGGGAGCACCUCUCAGACUAAUGUUCCCUUGAAACUCCCAAGAUGGUCUGUGAAGUGAUGACCCGAGUUCUGUCAUUGCUGAAGAAAGAUUUCUGUUCAGCCCACCACAGCUUGUGCUGCAGGCACCGUGUGGCUUUGCCUGAGGAUUGCUCUACAGUGCUAGACACCCACCAGACUGUUCGAAUUCAUUUGGAACAAUGCGGUGGAUGAAAUGUGGGCAUACACUGUGCAAAGUGUGCAGAACUAACAGGAGUUACCAAGGCUGGAGAGACAAAGCCUCCUCUUUUAUAAACUCAUUCACAUUUCACGACUGAAAAACAAGGAGACAAACAAACAAAGCACAACAAGGUAUGAGGUGAGCCCGGUUCCUCGUGGCCCAGGGGAACGUGCUGACAUGCAUGGUGUGAACCCUGGGUGUUCGUCUGUAGAAGGCACUUGAAGCAGUCCAGGUAAAUGUCACUUCGUGAUUCUGGCUUGUGGUGUUAUUUAACGUUUCCUUUGGGGUUACCAUCAUACAAAUAGCUACCAAUGACAAGACGUGCCAUCCACCAGCAAGCCUGUAGGAUGAUAACAGCACUUUUAUUUGCUGGGUGCACCUAUCCCCUAGAGACAGAAGCGUGUUACAGAGGACAGGCAGCACGUAAUAGCCUCAUUUCGGCUUAUGCGAAAAUUCCUGCAUGGCUGUCAGCAAUCAAGAGAGGGUGAAGUGGCAGCAUGAUGCAUAAUAAAAGCAAAAAAAGAAUGCCUGAAAGGACUGAAUUGAAUUCAUCCAUACCCAUAUCAGUUGGCAGUCAGCUUUGGACGCCAUAGAAAUAAUAAUGCAGGACUUUCCCUGUGAUGUAUUUGCUCCCUUCACAUGUGAUUUUUCAGACCAAGAUGUUGACAGGCUUCUUUAGAUCUUUCUUGUACUGCUUCUAAGAGUCCUGACAGCUAGCGUAAGUACCAUGACACUGGCUUCAGGAAGGUGUACCAAGUCCUUAGGUUGCUGGCCUGCAUCUCGAGAGGCUGGGAUGUAAUUCUGUGCCAUAUCCUUCCUGUGUGACCCUGGGCAAGUCUCUCAGAGAGGUUUCAGUUGCCUGAACAUAGUAAAUUUUAGAUGUGUUUAGGUAUCACGAGCUACCUCUCCAGCAGGGUGCGGGUCUCCUCUAAGCCCUGUGUCAUAUCUUUUUGCGCCUUGAGGAUGUCCCAGAUACCCAAGGGCAAUUUAAAAAGCUAGAUGCCAAAGUCUUGGUAACUGAACAGCAUCCUUCUCUCUUUCAGUGCUGUAUUGGUAAAAUCAGGGUACCAGGGUUAGCCAGCCUUGGGAAAGGUUGAAGAUAAACUAAGGAGACAGAGCUGCUGCUCAGUACAAAAGCAUUGAUGGCAGUUUAAAUACAAAGGCAUUGACAAUUGCUUACCCCGUGGAACUUGGAGGUAGACACGAAAGAAGACCCUCCUUCCUGCCUCUCACUGCCAUCAGCUAAAAUCAAUAUUAUUGUGCAGAAUAUGUGAGAGAGGCUCUUGAAGAGGAGUCUCGCUGAAGUGGUGUACUGUAGCCUCCAACAUAAAUCUGUCUUAACUGACUAAAGUUAGCAGUUCGGUCCUGUCUGAAUAAACUACAAAGCAAGUAAGAAAUACGCGUUACUUUACCUGCAUUCUUUCUUGGUUUAGAAGCUGCUCCUUUUUUUUAACUGCUCUAAGGGAAUCCUUGGACCAGGAUUGAACACAGCCCUUGGAAAAGAAGAGAAGCUGCAUUCACAACAGUCUGUUGGCAUACAUGAUUCUUUGCACUCUGAGUCAGUCUCCUUGGUGUUACGCUGGUGCUGCUUUACCAGUUUAGCAUAGGCUGAGAUGGAGUUGCAAAUGCAGGAAGUAGGAAUAAAAUCUGAGCCCAUCUAUUUGAUAGCUUGAAAUCUGAAAAAUGGUCUAGUUUUUGCUAGACCAUUCUAUAUUCACCUUUCAACUGCAGAGCCCUGAGUUGAGCUGAUGACAAUCCUAGCAGGCAGCAAGUUUUUCUGGUUGAUAGAAACCUGACAUUUGUCUGGGCAGCAGAAGGCCACUGACUGCCAGGAGGGGAUUAUUUAGCUUGUCAUUAAGCCAGGACUGCACUCAUGCUUCCAUCUGUGCAAGCAUGUUUCUGCAGCAGUGCUUGGUAUUGCCUUCGGUGAGCAAAGCGAACAGUGCGCCUCUUUUAGUGCUGGAGGGGCAGAAUUUUCAAGGACAGAGCUAGAUCGUCUUUCAGCAUGGAAGAGAAGCACACACAGGCUGUUACCUGGAUGAAGAGAGCAUUACGCUGACAGGCUUAAUCCUUUCCGCAAAGGAAUGAUGGGGAAGCACUGGGGACCAGAACUGAGGACAUUUACUUGCCGACGUUGUGCUGACAAUAUCGAUUGUGCCACAUAAUGUUCAGCCUACCUGCACCUCCUCCUUGAAGAGGACCCAAAGCACGCUGGAUUUCUGGGGCAAGCCUGCCACUGCUUCAUUCAGGGGAUCCUCCCUCCUCUCCAGCCACCCUGCUGCAUGGAAAGGAGCAGGGAGAAAAGACAUGACCAGUCCAGACACAGAGAGAAAGUAGCAGUGCAUAAGAAAGCAGAUUUCUUCUCGUUAACCUGGCUAAAGAGAGGAAGAAAUCCUCUGUGGGUGUAAGAAAAGGAAGCAAGUGAACGCUGGCAUGGGAAUAACAUUAAUGCAUUCUCUGGAGUCUUAGGACUUGUGGGGGGCCCUUGCCAUGGGAAGCACAAAUGCCCUAAAUAAGGGAUUCUGCAGGAUUUUCUAAGGAAAGGAUGUUGUGGAGAGAUAUUUUUACCUUUUAGGCUCGUACGUUUAUACGCUGACAGGGGACAAUGUGGUUUAUAGGCUGGUAUAGCCAAGUGCAAUCAGAAUGUAUCUUGGCACAGUCAAAUGUCACUUGCAAAAACCCGCUUGGUAGCAAGAAGGGGAAUAGCUGCUAAGUGUAAAAAAGAGGGAGUGAAGGGCCUGUGAUUCAUGCUCUGAUCAUGUUCUGUCAGGAUGUCUGUGCAGCGGAGUCGUAUGAAUAACUAGUGGAGAUUGAUAAUAUGCUUAAAUACUGCUCCUGCUGCUAAGCAUUAGCAUGGCUGCUUGACAGCACAGCAGAGAGGCAAGGCACAUUCACCAGGAAAGGCUAGGCAAGCUGCAGCGAGCUGCAGGGCUCUGGCUCUUCCAGCAAUGCGUGAGCAGCAGAAUCAAAAACUAAUUUAAUCCUUUGGCUACCGUGCUUUUUGGGUAGCUUUCCGACAGCUUAGUGUUACUGGAAACAAGCUAUGGCUUGAGUUUUUGGGGUUUUGUUCCUUUUCAGACUAUCUGUAAGGAUUAUAUUUUAAGCCAAGGCCAGUGGCAACAUGUUGAAGAGUCAUGAAACUGCCUUGCUAGUCUUUGUACGUUAAAAUGCCCAACUGUUGCGUCACUGUCAGGCAUUCGCAGUGUUUUCAAUUAAUUGUUACUGAAAAGGAUUUCGGAGACACACAUUUCUGUGUGGCAGAGCCAGUGUCUGGCUGCAGUACUCCUGUACAGCAACAAAGCCACAUUAAUUUGCACCAGCAAAGUACUUUUCCCAACGUUUCUGUAUGUUAAAACCCAUGGAAGUUUGAUGUGAUCCAUAGGGCUUGGCCUCUACAUCUUGGCCUCAUGUCCAGCCUUGCUACGAGCACAUUCUUAGCAUAACAUGCCAUCUCAGGGGAGCUUCUGCCUCUUCACGUUUGCCUCCUUUGGGCUGGAGGAGGCUGGGUGAUUUGCCCAGGUGGUUAUAGCUGGCAGCCUUGGGGAACGUGCACUGCUCUUUCAGGAUGGAGAAAAUGCCCAUGGGCUGUGGGGAUGGAAAAAAAAGCAUCAGGGUAUCGAUAGAGUCGUGUCACUGGUCCAUUUUUUGCACCAUUUUUUGUUCUUUCACCCUGGGCCUGGUGAUGCUCUUCUGGAGCUUGCCAGAAUUCAGACCACUCGGGAAGCAACUUUAUCAGCCACUGUUGAAGGGAAGAAAAUCACCCAUCCCCUUAAUCCAUACUCAGGAAAAUGGUUACAGCCUCUGCUUUCAGGGACAGGCAGGCUCUCCAGCCCUGCUGGGGACAGGCUGGGAAGGACAGAAGGACAGAAGUCUCAGCUCUGUCCCUUCACACACACACACACCAUUCUAGCAGAGCUCGCUGGAUGGAGAGAAGGCAACAACACCCCCCUCAGACAAGGUGUUACAGCAACUGCUCUGAAUCUGGGCUCCCAUAUGCUCCGAGAGGUAGGUGCCUCUUUGCUCCACCAUGGCUGCCAAGAAACACCUGCAAAGCAGGGCUCUUCAACAAAGAAGGAUCCAGUCCUGAGCUGACAGCUCAACCAUCUGGCUAGGCCUGCUGCCCCGUGGCAGCUGUGAAUGCCAGCUCUGACUCUCAAUAGCACAUCUGUUCAUUUAAACAAAACAAAGAAAAAUAAAUCAGUGUGUUGUUUAA